AUUGAACGCUGGCGGCAGGCCUAACACAUGAAAGUCGAACGCAGUGGGGACGGGUGCGUAACACGUGGGUAACCUCCCAUCAGAGGGGAUAACCCUUGGAAACAGGUGCUAAACCGAUACUGAUGGAUGGACCCGCCGUGCAUUAGCUAGUUGGUGAGGUAACGGCUCACCAAGGCCACGAUGCAUAGCCGACCUUGUAGGGUGAUCGGCCACACUGGGACUGAGACACGGCCCAGACUCCUACGGGAGGCAGCCGUAGGGAAUCUUCGGCAAUGGACGAAAGUCUGACCGAGCAACGCCGCGUGAGUGAAGACGGUUUUCGGAUCGUAAAACUCUGUUGUUAGAGAAGCGGUAUCUAACCAGAAAGCCACGGCUAACUACGUGCCAGCAGCCGCGGUAAUAC
rnacentral:rRNA from 1 species